rnacentral:rRNA from 1 species
GACGAACGCUGGCGGCGUGCUUAACACAUGCAAGUCGAACGGAAAGGCCCUGCUUUUGUGGGGUGCUCGAGUGGCGAACGGGUGAGUAACACGUGAGUAACCUGCCCUUGACUUUGGGAUAACUUCAGGAAACUGGGGCUAAUACCGGAUAGGAGCUCCUGCUGCAUGGUGGGGGUUGGAAAGUUUCGGCGGUUGGGGAUGGACUCGCGGCUUAUCAGCUUGUUGGUGGGGUAGUGGCUUACCAAGGCUUUGACGGGUAGCCGGCAUGAGAGGGUGACCGGCCACAUUGGGACUGAGAUACGGCCCAGACUCCUACGGGAGGCAGCAGUGGGGAAUAUUGCACAAUGGGCGGAAGCCUGAUGCAGCAACGCCGCGUGCGGGAUGACGGCCUUCGGGUUGUAAACCGCUUUCGCCUGUGACGAAGCGUGAGUGACGGUAAUGGGUAAAGAAGCACCGGCUAACUACGUG